AGUGAACGCUGGCGGUAGGCCUAACACAUGCAAGUCGAACGGCAGCACAGUAAGAGCUUGCUCUUACGGGUGGCGAGUGGCGGACGGGUGAGGAAUACAUCGGAAUCUACUUUUUCGUGGGGGAUAACGUAGGGAAACUUACGCUAAUACAGCAUCCGACCUACGGGUGAAAGCAGGGGAAAUUCGGACCUUGCGCGAAUGAAUGAGCCGCUGUCGGAUUAGUUAGUUGGCGGGGUUAAGGCCAACCAAGGGGGCGAUACGUAGCUGGUCUGAGAGAAUGAUCGCCCACACUGGAACGUAGCCACGGUCCAGGCUACUACGGUAGGCAGCAGUGGGGAAUAUGGGACAAUGGUCGCAAGCCUUACCCAGCCGUACCGCGUGGGUGAAGGAGGCCUUCGGUUUGUAAAGCCCUUUUUUUGGUAGAAAAACGCAGUCGGUUAUGACCCCGCGUUUCUGACGGUACCCAAUGAAGAAGCACCGGCUAACUUCGUG
rnacentral:rRNA from 1 species